UACGAAGGGUGCUAGCGUUGUUCGGAAUUACUGGGCGUAAAGGGCGCGUAGGCUGUGCUGUAAGUCAGGCGUGAAAUCCCCGGGCUCAACCUGGGAAUUGCGCAUGAUACUGCGGCGCUUGAAGACGGGAGAGGAUGGCGGAAUUCCCAGUGUAGAGGUGAAAGUCGUAGAUAUUGGGAAGAACACCAGUGGCGAAGGCGGCUCACGGGCCCGGUACUGACGCUGAGAUACGAAAGCGUGGGGAGCAAAAAGG
rnacentral:rRNA from 1 species